CUCCCAUUUCUCCGGCGAUCUCGAGCCCACUGCAAACUCCCAUUUUUCUGUCAAACCCGAGACCCACGAAGCAUAUUUCCUUCAAAGUUUAAAAAACUAAGAUGCCUAAGUUGCUUGUUCCGUUCAGUGAUCACUUUCCUGGUCGAGUGACAUAUCGGGGUAGUAGUACUUUAAAUCACAUUAAGACCAGGUUUUUGGAGCUCGGGCUGCUUGAAAGGGCUAAGGAAUCCCCUUUCAAGCAAUUCUUUUUGGCUUCGGAGUUUAAUUUCUCCGGAGUCUUGGUGCAUCAACUGUUGCUGAGGAAAAUCGCCAGCAACAACGAAGAUGAGGUGCAUUUUUUCUUGGGGUCGAAGUCUUGUAGAUUCUGCAUGGGAGAGUUUGCCCUGGUGACGGGGUUGGAUUUCAGUGCCUUCCCGUCACCAGAAGAGUUGGAAGGGCGUAAUCUCAGCGAUCGGUUGAUAAAUGAGUAUUUCAACGAUGCUGAGAAAGUAAAGCUGUCACAGGUGGACCAUGCUUUCAAGACUUGUACGGAUGUGGAAGAUGUGUACAAGCUUGGUCUAUGUCUGUUUGUUGAGGGGGUUCUGAAUGCCAUUGAGGGCAAGCUGCACAUUUGGCGAGAUAUUCUAAAAAUUGUUGAGAAUGUAGAGUACUUCUUCAGCUAUCCAUGGGGAAGGUACUCUUAUAGGAGGCUAUUGCAUUCUUGUAAGAAGGACAUGGUGAAGCAAAAGGCCAACUAUGAUGCCAAGAAGGAUGCCAAGGUGCAGCAAGAGUCCAAAUACAGUAUGUAUGGUUAUGCCCCCGCCUUACAGUACUGGGCAUAUGAGGCUAUCCAACAGCUUGCGGUGGAGCUUGUUGUGAGCUCGGGAAACAUGUUCCCAAGGAUGCUUAGCUAGUCGCAUCGGAGGAACAAGGAUUUCACCAAGUCCGUCAUCGCACCGAUAUUAUUGAAGAAGAAUUUAAUUGUUCUUCCGAUGUUGAAGCCUCGGCCAGCAGAAAAAGACUAUUACUUGUCUUUGACUGAGGGAGAUCUUCCCCUUUAUCCUGGGCUUGGCUAGGAUCCCUCGGAGACUGAUGAGGAGGAGGAUGCGACUUUUGAGAAAAUGGCAGAGAAAGUUUCUCAGGCUGCCGAGGCAGCCAAGAUAUUUGUUGAUGCUGCCUCGGGGGAGGAGGUUGCAGGUCCCACCCCUCCUAUUGCCCCAGCCUCAGCCCCAGCCUCAACCUGUGCCCCAACAUCAGCCCUAGCCUCAGCCCCAGCCUCAACCUGUGCCCCAACAUCAGCCCCAGCCUCAGCGUCAGCCCCAACACCAACCCCAACACCAGCCUCAG